AACAAGGCGUACCUGCGGACCUGCGGAGGGAUCAUUAACGAGUGUAACUUACCCUUUUAAAAAAUGGGUGGUACCUCCCGUCCUUUGCGGGCCCCCUUCUUUUAUUAAGGGGGGGGCUUUUAAGACUUUCUGCUUCGGCGGGGUUAUUCCCGCCGGAACACCUUCAAAAAACUCUUGAUCAAAAAACUGUUCAGUCCGAGAAUUUUUGAAAAUUAAAACAAAACUUUCAGCAAUGGAUCU
rnacentral:misc_RNA from 1 species